rnacentral:rRNA from 1 species
GACGAACGCUGGCGGCGUGCCUAAUACAUGCAAGUAGAACGCAGUUGCGAACGGGUGAGUAACGCGUAGUUAACUGCGUCAAACCAGGGGACAACUAUUGGAAACGCUAGCUAACACCGCAUACUGUGAGAUGGACCUGCGUUGUAUUAGCUAGUUGGUGAGGUAAAGGCUCAACAAGGCGACGGUACAUAGCCGACCUCAGAGGGGGGUCGGCCAAAACGGGACCGGGACACCGCCCAGAAUCCUACCGGAGGCAGCAGUAGGGAAUUUUCGGGAAUGGGAGGAAAGCUGACCGAGCAACGCCGCGUGAGUGGAGAAGGUUUUCGGAUCGUAAAGCUCUUGUGUUUGAGAAGCGGUAACUAACCAGAAAGGGACGGCUAACUACGUGCCAGCAGCCGCGGUAAUUC